rnacentral:lncRNA from 1 species
GAGAAGCCCUUUUCUUGGUGGUGUUUGAUGUUAAUUGGCAGAUAUUUUGUGUAGGAUGUUGACAGAGUCAGUCACUUUAUCAUAUUUUAAACACAUGCUCUUCCAAUCCUUUCACUUUGGAUGCAUUGAACAUUUUAAUCAUACCUGGUAGUGUACACCCCAAGCUGAAAACUCCAGGAAGUACGGCAUCAACAUAAAGGAAAUCUCUUAAAAUCAAACUCAUAGCACUUGAUUUUUUAUUUCAUGCCAAUACACAAUGGAAAUUGUCAUUUGAAAACCGUUUGUUUAUGGCUAUUAGGCCUAGUAUUAGAUCUCUUGAAACUUAGAACCCUGGAAGGCAUUACAUACCUCCUGGUUAGAACCUUCUGGUCCUGAGGGAAUAUUGACAUAUCACCCACCUGGUGCACCACUGACACCUAUCAGAAUUCAUAGCUAGGAUCUCCUAACAAGUUGGACAAUAAAUGUGUGGAACACAAAAACAGGGGUAUAUUUAAAUUGAAUCUUAAUUAUAUAAAGCCAUUUUGGGAUGAGCUGGAAGCAUACCCUCUGUGUAAAGAAUGGAUAAACAUCCUAUUUUAUACUGAUAGGAUUCUAUGAUGAACUAAAUAGGCCUUGCUAAGCAACAGCUUCUCCUGUCCAAUAUACUUACAAGAAAAAAGAAGACCGAAGAUCACUUAUUAUCAACUGCAAAUGCUAACUUAGGCAGAAGUCCUCCGAUGUUCAUUGACUCAUAUUCAUCAUCUCUGUAUGGACUGAAUAAUUUAAUUACUUAAUGGUAGAUUCCGUUUACUAGUUCAACUUGGUGGGUUCAUCAGGAAGGUAUAUUACUUAAUACUAAACAGACCAUAGGUACAGUAUUUAAAUGAAUGAAUGGCAAUCCUGAUGUGAAAUUCUUCCAUGUUAAGGUCAUUGCAUAUAGUAGUAGAUUUUUUUUUUCAUGGUCAUGGAGAUGAGGCAGUCAUCAACCAUAUUUAUCAGCACAUAAGAUAUAUAACAUAUAGGUAACUUCCCAGCUUUAUGAGGGAAAUUUUGGGGAAAAAAAUUUGUAAGAACUCUUCACCACACGAUUUAUAGGUUUAAAGUUCUCUAAUGUUUUAAAAGCAUUUAAAGUCUCCCUAAAGUUCUCUAACAUGUAAAAAACAACUAAAGUCUCUUUAAAUGUUUUUUACAUACAGAAAACCAUUUUGUUCAUAUAAGAACUGCAUAUUGGUGUUAGGCCAGGAGUGGUGGCUCACAUCUCUAAUCCCAGCACUUUGGGAGGCUGAGAUGGGCAGAUCACCUGAGGUCGGGAGUUCGAGACUAGCCUGGCCAACAUAGUGAAACCCCGUCUCUACUAAAAAUACAAAAAUUAGCCUGGCAUGGUGGCGGGUGCCUGUAAUCCCAGCUACUCGGGAGGCUGAGGCAGAAGAAUCGCUUGAACCUGGGAGGCGGAGGUUGCAGUGAGCUGAGAUUGCGCCACUGCACUCCAGCCUGGGUGACAGAGUGAGACUCUGUUUCAAAAAACAAACCAACCAACCCUGUAUAUUGGAGGUAAAAUGAAUGAGAACUUCCUUCUAUUUUACAUCUUUUUGAGUUGACCACAGUAUAGGCACACUAGAGGCACAAUAGCUUUUGUACAUGUUUAGGCAUGAGAUGUGGGUGCCGUGAUUUUACUAAGAGGUUGUGAACCCUCCAGUUUCUCAAAGCAUGUGAAUCUGUCCAAAUAAGUAAUACCAAAUAUCUGUGUUUAGGGAAGCUGAACAGAAUUACAACAUUCAAUUGUGGCAUGUCAUCUUUAAUCAAAAGCCUGGUUAAGAAAAACAGGCACAGAGGAUUUCUUGAAGGAUAUGUAGUCUACUCAUUCCUUUAAACUUUUAGCUUUGAUGAUUGUUAUCUUUCUAGAUCAAAAGAGAGAGUCACUCCUUGGACCAUGCUCCUUCAGCUCCUUGCUGACCUGCAUUUCUCACCAUACAGUUUAACUCUAGGCCCCUAUUGAAAGAUCCAUAAAAGGAAAUUGUCCGCAACUUGCUGUAUAUGUAUUGUAUGAAGGUUUUGAGAAUUUAAAAAUUUCUGAAUACACAACUUCUACUUCCUAGAAGAAUUUUUAAGAAUUUAUGCCAGAAAAAGUGUUUCUCCUAAUUUAACUUUUGAAAAUAAAAAUCGCGUAUUUUUAAGGUGUACAAAUGGAUGUUUUAAUACAGUGAACUGCAGUCAAGCUAAUUAACCUAUAUAUUUCUUCAGUCACCAUUAUGUAUAUGGUGAGAACAUUAAAAUAUAUUCUCUUAGUAAAUUUCAAGUACACAUUAUUAACUAUACUACCCAUGCUGUACAUUUGAUCUUUAGAACUUAUUCAUCCUGUAUUACUGAAACUUCAUACCCUUUGAUAAACACGUCCCCAUUUCUCCUGCCCUCCUGCCCCUCAUAACUACCACUUUCUUAGAUUCCACAUAUGAGAUCAUGCAGAAUUUUUCUUCUGUAUCUGCUUAUUUCACUUAGCAUAAUGUCCUCCAAGUUCAUCCAUGCCAUUGCAAGUGAUGUUAUUUUCUUCUUUUUAAAGGCUGAAGAGUAUUCCAUUGUAUGUGUGUGUAUAAAACAAUUUCUAGGCUGAGGUGGGAGGAUCGCUUGAGCCCAGGAGUUGAAGACCAGCCUGGGCAAUAUAGUGAAACCUUGUCUCUACAAAAAAAAAAAAAAAAAAAAAAUUAAAAUUAGCUGGGCCUGGUGGCACAUACCUGUAGUCCCAACUACUCGGGAGGCUGAGGUGGGAGUAUUGCCUGAGCCUGAGAGGUCAAGGCUGCAGUGAGCUGUGAUCAUGCCAUUGCACUCUAGCCUGGGCAACAGAGCGAGACUCUGUCUCUUAACAAAACAACACAACAAUUUCUUUAUCCAUU